CUUGUGGAGACAGGAAGACAUGCCGUCUACAAUUUGAUUGACAAACUACUUCGUUUGCUCAUUACCCUUCCAGUUUCUACAACGAGUGUCGAACGUGCAUUUUCUAGUAUGAAGAUCAUUAAGACAAGAUUAUGCAAUAAGAUGAAAGAUGAUAAUCUUGCUAAUAACUUGUUAGUUCACAUAGAGGGUGGGAUUCUAGAGAACUAUAGCCACGAAGAUGUCAUUGCAUAUUUCAUAAGCAAGAAGGAUCGGAGAGUUGAUUUCUAG
rnacentral:rRNA from 1 species